rnacentral:ncRNA from 2 species
ACUCUCGAUCCCACUGGUGGUUCGCUCCGGGCGAUGGUCGGCCGGAGCGAGGCAAGAGGGAACCCGGUGUGAGUCCGGGACUGCCCCGCAGCGGUGAACGGGAACGAAAGCCGUCAAUGAAGCACUGCGCGUGAGCGUGGGAAGCGACGGCCGGUAGGAGCGUGCUGUGCGCCCGUGAGUCCGAAGACCUGCCACCGGUCCGCGCGCCCA